rnacentral:rRNA from 1 species
GACGAACGCUGGCGGCGUGCCUAAUACAUGCAAGUAGAACGCUGAAGGAGGAGCUUGCUCUUCUGGAUGAGUUGCGAACGGGUGAGUAACGCGUAGGUAACCUGCCUGGUAGCGGGGGAUAACUAUUGGAAACGAUAGCUAAUACCGCAUAAGAGUAGAUGUUGCAUGACAUUUGCUUAAAAGGUGCAAUUGCAUCACUACCAGAUGGUCCUGCGUUGUAUUAGCUAGUUGGUGGGGUAACGGCUCACCAAGGCGACGAUACAUAGCCGACCUGAGAGGGUGAUCGGCCACACUGGGACUGAGACACGGCCCAGACUCCUACGGGAGGCAGCAGUAGGGAAUCUUCGGCAAUGGACGGAAGUCUGACCGAGCAACGCCGCGUGAGUGAAGAAGGUUUUCGGAUCGUAAAGCUCUGUUGUAAGAGAAGAACGAGUGUGAGAGUGGAAAGUUCACACUGUGACGGUAUCUUACCAGAAAGGGACGGCUAACUACGUG